AGAGUUUGAUCCUGGCUCAGAUUGAACGCUGGCGGCAGGCCUAACACAUGCAAGUCGAACGGUAACAGGAAACAGCUUGCUGUUUCGCUGACGAGUGGCGGACGGGUGAGUAAUGUCUGGGAAACUGCCUGAUGGAGGGGGAUAACUACUGGAAACGGUAGCUAAUACCGCAUAACGUCGCAAGACCAAAGAGGGGGACCCUCGGGCCUCUUGCCAUCGGAUGUGCCCAGAUGGGAUUAGCUUGUUGGUGGGGUAACGGCUCACCAAGGCGACGAUCCCUAGCUGGUCUGAGAGGAUGACCAGCCACACUGGAACUGAGACACGGUCCAGACUCCUACGGGAGGCAGCAGUGGGGAAUAUUGCACAAUGGGCGCAAGCCUGAUGCAGCCAUGCCGCGUGUAUGAAGAAGGCCUUCGGGUUGUAAAGUACUUUCAGCGGGGAGGAAGGGAGUAAAGUUAAUACCUUUGCUCAUUGACGUUACCCGCAGAAGAAGCACCGGCUAACUCCGUGCCAGCAGCCGCGGUAAUACGGAGGGUGCAAGCGUUAAUCGGAAUUACUGGGCGUAAAGCGCACGCAGGCGGUUUGUUAAGUCAGAUGUGAAAUCCCCGGGCUCAACCUGGGAACUGCAUCUGAUACUGGCAAGCUUGAGUCUCGUAGAGGGGGGUAGAAUUCCAGGUGUAGCGGUGAAAUGCGUAGA
rnacentral:rRNA from 1 species